rnacentral:other from 1 species
GGUUCUCUGGGUUGUUCGUGCCCGGUUGAUGUCCCUGAGCCGAUAAUUCUUUACAUCAGGGAUUCUUUUCCAGUGCUAUUGUGCAAGCUCGGCUCGUACCGAGAAGCCUGCGGUGCUGACUGGCGUCCCGCCUUGAACCAUGGGUUCAAGGGCUAACACUGGGUACGGCAAUUCGGAGAACAC